AACAUAAAUUCACAUCUUUUCUGCAUUGUUUAUGGUUCAUGAUGUUUUUGUGGUUGUGACUGAAUAGACUACAGUACACCACUGUAACUUUUCCACCACUUCUUUUCUUUUCUGUGUCAGAUACCUCGUUGAACAAAGAGAUGUGGAGCUCAAUGUAAGAGAUAAAUGGGACAGUACCCCGCUGUAUUACGCCUGUCUCUGUGGUCAUGAGGAGCUGGUCGAGUACCUGUUGGCUAGUGGUGCCAAGUGUGAAGCCAACACAUUUGAUGGUGAGAGGUGCCUGUACGGCUCCCUGAGUGACUCAGUUCGACGCCUGCUCAAAGAUUACAAGUGUGUCAGUGCCCGCACUAUGCAGCGGGAUGAUUUCAACUACUUCCUGCACAUGUUACUGGAGCAGGGUCAACACAGUGAUGUCAAGUUCCUGGUGCAUGGUCAGACAUUUCAGGCUCACCGCUGUGUACUCAGCGCCCGCUCCGAGUACUUCACUGAAAUGUUUGAGAGCAAAUGGAAAGGAAAGAACUUGAUAACUCUCAAACACCCUCUG